GGGUGACGAGUGGCGGACGGGUGAGUAAUGUCUGGGGAUCUGCCCGAUAGAGGGGGAUAACCACUGGAAACGGUGGCUAAUACCGCAUAACGUCGCAAGACCAAAGAGGGGGACCUUCGGGCCUCUCACUAUCGGAUGAACCCAGAUGGGAUUAGCUAGUAGGCGGGGUAAUGGCCCACCUAGGCGACGAUCCCUAGCUGGUCUGAGAGGAUGACCAGCCACACUGGAACUGAGACACGGUCCAGACUCCUACGGGAGGCAGCAGUGGGGAAUAUUGCACAAUGGGCGCAAGCCUGAUGCAGCCAUGCCGCGUGUAUGAAGAAGGCCUUCGGGUUGUAAAGUACUUUCAGCGGGGAGGAAGGCGAUGCGGUUAAUAACCGCGUCGAUUGACGUUACCCGCAGAAGAAGCACCGGCUAACUCCGUGCCAGCAGCCGCGGUAAUACGGAGGGUGCAAGCGUUAAUCGGAAUUACUGGGCGUAAAGCGCACGCAGGCGGUCUGUUAAGUCAGAUGUGAAAUCCCCGGGCUUAACCUGGGAACUGCAUUGAAAC
rnacentral:rRNA from 1 species